rnacentral:rRNA from 1 species
GACGAACGCUGGCGGCGUGCUUAACACAUGCAAGUCGAACGGAAAGGCCCUGCUUUUGUGGGGUGCUCGAGUGGUGAACGGGUGAGUAACACGUGAGUAACCUGCCCUUGACUUUGGGAUAACUUCAGGAAACUGGGGCUAAUACCGGAUAGGAGCUCCUGCUGCAUGGUGGGGGUUGGAAAGUUUCGGCGGUUGGGGAUGGACUCGCGGCUUAUCAGCUUGUUGGUGGGGUAGUGGCUUACCAAGGCUUUGACGGGUAGCCGGCCUGAGAGGGUGACCGGCGACAUUGGGACUGAGAUACGGAGCAGACUCCUACGGGAGGCAGCAGGGGGGAAUAUUGCACAAUGGGCGGAAGCCUGAUGAAGCAACGCCGCGUGCGGGAUGACGGCCUUCGGGUUGUAAACCGCUUUCGCCUGUGACGAAGCGUGAGUGACGGUAAUGGGUAAAGAAGCACCGGCUAACUACGUG